AGCUCCAAUAGCGUAUAUUAAAGUUGUUGUGGUUAAAAAGCUCGUAGUUGGAUUUCGGCGGGCAGGGGCUGGUUUGAAUUGAUUCCACACUGACUUUUUUACCCGCGCGUUUUGCCGGAAUCUUCCCGGUGAUCUUUUCCUAUUGUCCGCUGGAACUGGCAGGUUUACUUUGAAAAAAUUAGAGUGCUCAAAGCAAGCUUACUGCUUGAAUAGUUGCGCAUGGAAUAAUAGAAUAGGAAGUCGUUUCUAUUUUGUUGGUUUUCGGAAAUCGACUUAAUGAUUAAUAGGGAUAGUCGGGGGCAUUCGUAUUCAAACGACAGAGGUGAAAUUCUUGGACCGUUUGAAGACGAACUAAGGCGAAAGCAUUUGCCAAGAAUGUUUUCA
rnacentral:rRNA from 1 species